AAGAGAAUGACAUUCAGCAAUUAUCAGCUCUACCCUGGCUACUGUUGAUAAUAAUACCACACUACACAAGAAUGAUAGCAACUCUGAUGAAGAAGGUGAUGUGAGGCUGCAACAUAGAAAUAAGUAGAAGACUACAUGUUUGUGAAUCAUUGGAUUUGAUCAGACUGGGGUGUUUUUUGCAGCAGUGAUGAUGGAUGAUUCCAGAUUUAACCAUUCAGUGCCAGUGGGUUCCCUUCUUUAUCAAAACAAGCGCAUAUGGAAGAAGAUGAAAAUAAAGAGUAGCAGCUCCUUGAAAAGAGGAGCGAUGUCUAAUUCAGUUUUGAAUCUUCCAAAAUAUGAAGGAAACCUGAAAAUAUGUGUUACAUGGAAAGAAUGGGAACGAGCAUUAAAGGAGGUUUGUAAACACCAACAAAAGAUAAUCAGAGCAACAGCAACCAAACGUUCAGCUCUCCCCUGUGCUUGCCCCAAUGUGGACCUCCCAAUCAAGCUUUAAACGUUUCAGCUGAAACUUCUUCCAGCUCUUGGGAACGCCAGAAAGACAAACACCAUCUCAGUGCUUCCUCCUGAGACUCC